CAUCUCCGGCUCGCUGGUCUCCCUUAAAGCUGGCGGGUCCGUCAACGGCCGUUCCAGGCAGAGGAGAAGGCUUGAUUGUGCCAAAGACUCCAGACAUCGAAUCCUUGCUCCGAGGGGAAAUCAUCGAAAACGACGGUGAAUGUCCAACAGGCACCCGCUAUUGGUAACACUGGACAAGUCGGAUAUCCUUGCUUGGAUCCUUUUAAAGUUGCCCGAUAAACUGCUGAGAGUUGAUCUCUCCUCUUGUCCAAAGGUUUUUCGUUCAUUUUUACUUGUAAUACUGGCACUAGGGUUGAUGUAGUAGCUCCACAACAUAACCUUAAAGCCUGUGACUGGAUCCGGUCUAUUUUCCCAAGUCAUGUUUUUGAAGCAGAUUGGUAAAUAAUGCAUCCGUAAUCAAUAACAGAUGGAAUUAAAGUUAUAAA